CCGCACUGGAGCGGCUUCUCCCGCUGCCGUCUUCGCGCAGGGUUGAGUUUGUGCAUCGAUUGUGAACACAACAGGCAGCAGGCUAUAAUGGUGGUCCUGGCUGGAGUAGUUUUCACAGACUUCAGUAAUCUGUGGAGAUGAACGGGCAGUUCUCUGUAGUUUUCACAGAUCACUGCCAGUUCGUUUUGAGGCCUUCAGGAGUGAAGACCUGGCUCAUCAUCACUCUUUGUUGUUUUGUUAAAUUUAUUUACACCCUACUUUAUUCCAGAGGAAAGGAUUUAACGUAGUUUACAUAAAUGUGUACAUCAGGGUAAAUUAAAAAUAAGUACAGAGAAAAAUAGGACAAAAGAAAACCGUGAGUGUGAAAGAUAAGAUUAAGCCAGCAGUUUUGUAUGCAAAAUGCAUGGUGUAAGGUCCUAUUGGUUUGCUGGAGGUAGGCCACACAUAUGACUCUCAGUUUUCUAGCAACCAAGAAAAAGAUCAGUUGCAAUCGGAGUAGGUGUUUUGGCUAAGCUGGAACUAGGACUUGAAUAUAGCAGCUUGUAGAGUUAUACCACUUGCCCAAAUCUCUUCCAUGAGCCUCUUUAAGUGUAACAGAAUGCCUGGGAGCACGUAAAUGCUCCUACUUAGAUGCCUACUUAGCCUCUAAUUUUCAUGGGGCCCAUGAAUCCCAUGAAAAAGAACUUUGAACCCUGUCCACAAUUAGAGUUCAGGUAUACGCAGACAUGUUUAAAGACAAGGGACACCCAAAGGAAAGAUUGCACAGAGAGAAAGUGAGCAUCCGAGAGAAAAUCACCACAAGUGAGGCAGAGGGAGGCCGGUCUCAGCAGAGUUUUGGAGGUCGUGAGAAGAAGAGGUAGGAGAUAGGAGAGUGGUUCCGAGUACUUGCCUGCUGAUGUUACCUUCUCCACCCCCACCAGGUUUUCCAGUGCCUGGAGUCUUGGGCAGGAAUGGGCCACUGUAAGAAAGAGCUUUAUCACUAGGGCCUCAGCCAACUUUUCUGUGGGAUAUCCCUCCAAAAUAAUUAAGAGUUCAGAAUGCUUCAGAUUUUGAAGUGAAACUGAUAAUGUCUGUGCCUAUCAGAUAAAGGCAAACCAGUGCUCAGAGGAACCCAACCAUCUCUGAAUUGAGACCAGAGAGCUGUCUCUAUGGAUAGUCCUUAGAGAAGGCAUUUCGGAACACAGUAAACAGCAGCCUGGUGACUCCGAUUACAGGGCCAGUUGCCUUUGUUACAAUAAAAGCAAGUCAUCUACACAGAUUUUUCCUACCAGGAAGAGCAUGUGCUGACCAACAGACAUGAAUUUCAGCCUGGUAGUUACAACAUUCACAGUAUACCCACAUCACUAAGCUGGGAGGCACAUUUUGAGACCCAGAAUCCUGACACCUCCAUGCCUUCAAAAGGACAAACUGCGGCCUGGACCAGCUGGUGAAACAUAAUUCUGAAUCCUGCCCACAGCCUUCGGUGGUUUUGGAUGAAAGGCCAGCGCCUUGGGAGCCCUGCGUUUGAUUUCAAGUUUUAAGGCCGGCACUGGUGGAGCAAUGAAUGGUGAAAGCUCUCCCCUUAAAGGAGCACAGUUGCCUUUAGGUGACUGCUAACUCAGGCUUUUGCUGAGGACAGUGUUUACUUUGUGAGCUUAAUGACAGGGCUGGCUUUCUGGGAGUGUUGCAAUGAAACAGACUCAGACACAGGCCAUCAUGGGCCUCCUCCCUAGCAAGGCCGCCACGGCUGGCAUCUCAAGAGCAGUCCGUUGAACUUGGGAUUUGGGUGUGAGACACAGUUUCAUCAGAAGAAUUUAAACCAAAGUCUACAUUUGCCCUCUAGAUAAAUGUGUGUGUUCAGCAGCAACCACAACUCCUUGCCUCAUUCUCUUGGUUGAUUAUGUGACUGUGAGAAGAAAAGCAAAAGCAAAAAUGCGAAGCGUAGCUAUGAUGCUAUUUUAGUUAAAAAUAUUCUGGUAGAAUUUGAAGGUACCAUAGAGAUUACCUACAGAUGGAAAAAACUGAAGGUCAGAGAUGGGAAGUGCCUUGUCCAAGAUCACACAGCAUAUAAGGGAAGAAGUAGGACUGAAAUCCAGAUUUCUCUGUUCCUGUUCCUGUUUUCUCUUUUCUUUUUUUGAGACAAGGUCUCACUCUGUCGCCCAGGUUGGAGUGCAAUGGUGCAAUCUCGGCUCACUGCAACCUCCAACUCUUAGGCUCCAGAGACCAUCCUACCUCAGCCUCUUUAGUAGCUGAGAUCCUGGCUAUUUUUUAUUUUUGGUAGAGAUAGGGUUUCACCAUGUGGCCCAGUCUUGUCUUGAACUCCUGAGCUCAAACGAUCCACCCACCUUGGCCUCCCAAAGCGUUGGGAAUAUAGUGUGAGCCACUGCACCCGGCCAGGUCCUGGUCUCUUUUCAUUAUUAUACAGCUGUCAACAAUCAUGGAGAGUUCUUUUUCCCUUUUGUUGGGUUCUUGUUCCUUUGCAAAGUCUAUAAAGAACCAAGAUGAUCCAGGAAAUUCAGGGAGUCCUCAUUCACUUCCAAAGGCAGUUUGUUGUCUGUUGGCUGUGCUGUAUGAAUUGCUGUUUCAAUUAAGUUUUUCAACAUUUCCUAUGAAGGCAUGCAAAUGACCACUGAUUCUAAAUAAACCCAUUUAGGUAUUCAGGGUUUAUAAAUAUAGAGAAUCUUGCUUUCUGCCUCAUUCUUUCUGUCUUCCCUGGCAUUCUUCCCUCUAUCCACCUCCACUGAGAUGCAUUUUUAUAAAAGACUUUACUUAGGACACAUAUUUUGAUGAAAUCCUUAACAUUUUUCUUCUUUCCCAAUUUUUAUAUUAUCAUUGUUAUAAUGCAUUACAAUAAUUUAUAUUUUGCAAAUUUGUUUUAAUAUGUUAAUUUUGCAAUGUAACUAUCUCAAGGCUUCUAAUGAGGAGAGGAGGAGGCCACAGAUAGGACUAGAUAGAGAGACUUUUAAAGAUGUGGGUAGGGUGUUUGUGAAUGUCUGGGCAGUGGAAUAUUUAUGCAGCACUGUGGGUGUUUUGAACCCUCUGGAAACUAACAAGCAAGCUCCACACAUAAACUUGGUGGAAGUCCUCCAAACUUUGGACAACACAGAGGCCUUUCAGAAGUCUGAACCAAGUCCAAGUCAAAUUACA
rnacentral:lncRNA from 10 species